GGAUGAGGAUCUAAAUGGAUAAACCCUAGAGUCCAAUUUUGAUUGGACUCUUCCUCCCAUGCGACACCCUUUACCCAUGCCAAAUAAUUCUUCAAGCAAAUUCUGAUUUAAGUGAAUUAUUGCUCACACUUAGAAGUGUUUCUCGCCCACUUUUUCAACACCCUAGUGGAUAGGAUUAAGUGGUUAAGGUUUAGAUUCAAAUUGGU
rnacentral:lncRNA from 1 species